GUAUAUCGUCAUUGCUGCGGUUAAAAAGCUCGUAGUUGGAUCUGCGCCUAAGGACUCGGUCCAUCUUAUGGAUGAGAACUGGGCUCCUAGGCUACAACUGCCGGUUUUCCUUAUGUUGCCUUCAUCGGUCGCGUAGGGUGGCCGGCGAGUUUACCUUGAAAAAAUUAGAGUGCUCAAAGCGGGCUAAUGCCUGAAUAUUCGUGCAUGGAAUAAUAAAAUAGGAUCUCGGUUCUAUUUUGUUGGUUUUCUGAUCUGAGAUAAUGGUUAAGAGGGACGGACGGGGGCAUUCGUAUCGCUGCGUGAGAGGUGAAAUUCUUGGACCGUAGCGAGACGCCCGACUGCGAAAGCAUUUGCCAAGAAUGUCUUCAUUAAUCAAGAACGAAAGUCAGAGGUUCGAAGGCGAUCAGAUACCGCCCUAGUUCUGACCGUAAACGAUACCAACUAGCGUUCCGUUGGCGGUAAAUACGCCUUGACGGGCAGCUUCCCGGAAACGAAAGUCUUUCGGUUCCGGGGGAAGUAUGGUUGCAAAGCUGAAACUUAAAGAAAUUGACGGAAGGGCACCACCAGGAGUGGAGCCUGCGGCUUAAUUUGACUCAACACGGGAAAACUCACCUGGCCCGGACACCGUGAGGAUUGACAGAUUGAGAGCUCUUUCUUGAUUCGGUGGUUGGUGGUGCAUGGCCGUUCUUAGUUGGUGGAGUGAUUUGUCUGGUUUAUUCCGAUAACGAGCGAGACUCUAGCCUACUAAAUAGUUACUGGAUAAUUGCGUCCAGAUAACUUCUUAGAGGGACAAGCGGUGCUUAGCCGCAUGAAGUUGAGCAAUAACAGGUCUGUGAUGCCCUUAGAUGUCCAGGGCUGCACGCGCGCUACACUGGAGGAAUCAGCGUGCUGUAACCAUUGCCGAAAGGCAUUGGUAACCCCAUGAAAAUCCUCCGUGAUCGGGAUCGGGAAUUGCAAUUAUUUCCCUUGAACGAGGAAUUCCUAGUAAGUGUGAGUCAUCAGCUCACGUUGAUUACGUCCCUGCCCUUUGUACACACCGCCCGUCGCUGCCCGGGACUGAGCCGUUUCGAGAAAUACGGGGACCGCUGUUUGCGAUACCCUUCGGGGUGGACAUUCUUGGCGGAAACCGCCUUAAUCGCA
rnacentral:rRNA from 1 species